CAUUAGCUAAUAAAUACUCAUCAAUGAAUUUUCCUCAGCGUCUUGGAAGUUGGAGGAAAAAGAAAAUCGCUUUCUAUUUCUAGAGAUGCUGGUUUUCCACAUCCUGUUGGACUCAUCUAUCCAGGACGGUAGCGCUCCAGGAAAAAUUCCCUACUGAAGGGGAACCAAGAGCCUGGAGGAUCUCUUAGAAAGAAACUGCAUCAUCAACUAAGGUGGAAAAGUAGCAAAGAGCUUGAAGACUUUCAUGGAUCCCAGGCCCUGGACGGAGGCAGGCGGCUUCAGACAGCAUCAGACAGAGAACCAAGAAAGCCGAGGGGCAGCCGGAAGGUGCCUGUGGCCGCCGAGCCCAGACUUGUCUUUGGAAAAGACUCAGAAGAGCCAGUAAACUUGGCUUCUUCAGUUCUGCUUCUCAUCGGCCCCAUCAGCAGAGAGAAAUAAUGACUCCCGAAUCAUUUCUGAAUCAAAAAGUUAAAACAGUGUCUCAGUGAUGCUACAUCAUGCCA